rnacentral:lncRNA from 1 species
AAAAUAUUCUUCAAGUUCAAGCUUGUGAUCGCAUCUGCUCCUAUCUGCCAGCAUCCAUAACCUUUUCCUUAGAAAUAGUUCUUAGCACUUUGCCAAGGUGUCAUGAUAAGAACGAAGUGGAGGAAAAUGCAGUUUCUAACAACGUUCAUUGAAUCCUCCAAGUAAUGAUCCUUGGCUUCCUCUCCUGACAAAAUAUGCUUGAUAUGGUGCCUUUUUGAUCUCCUGAUACGGGUAUAAAAAUUACCUUCCUCCUUAUUCUUUUGAUGCAAUUUUAAAUGCUGUUGUUCCCAACAGGAAGUUUGAUGGUCUGGCUUGACAGGUUUAACAAGCUGAGCACCACUGGCCUAUUUCUUUGAUGAUAAAUGGAAGGGGAAGUAAGUGGGGAAUAAGCUACAGGUGCACUAUCUCCUUGGGUGACCACAGUCAUUCUUUGGGGUUAUGAGCCUGUUUGAACCUCUCUCUGCUUGUAAACAAACUUGUGAACAAACUGCUAGUAAACAAGCUAGUAAACACCUGGUAAACUCUGGCAAGACACAGCUAAACUCCUGCAGCCUCCAAAACAAGGUAUCUGCAUCCAAACUGCCAAUUGGGAAUAAUCUGCAGCCUUUGUCAGUCCCCAAACCAUGCACAGGCAUUGUCUGGAAGAACAUCUGACAACCAGAACCAGGGCUGUGCUGGCAGCUUCACAGCACAGGAAGCAACAGAAACACCUGUUCCAAAUCUGUGUCCAGGCCUAGGCUUUGUAUUCUUUGGGUAAGGUGUAAAUCGUGCUUUGUUCCUUAACUUUUCUUCAGUGUGAUUCUUGGAGUCAAAAAAGAGGUUCAAGAUGCCUCUCCCAAGCUUCCUGCUCUGGGAAUGAUAGUAAGGGGUGUUUCCAUUACUGCCAUGAGCUAUGACUGUGCUUUUUGGUACUGUGAUAGAAGGCUGACAUGGCAGUGGUAUCUAAAAUGUUUUAUAACACUGUUUUUCUAGUCAUCCUUUCCUGCAGCUUAUGUCAGCCUUACUUUGUAAAAUUUUAUCUGAAGUUCUUCAAUCACACAUAAAAAUUAGAGAAUGGCAAUUAUAUUGGCCUGGUUAAAAAUCUUACAAUACUGUGGCUUGGAAUGCUUACUUUUUCCAGGCUUCAUAGAAAAGGCAUUUUUGGUAUCAAGUAAGCUUCUUUCACUGUCUCCAGGAAAUCAUAUCUUGGCCAAAUAAUAAACUCUGACUAAUUUUAAUUUGAACACCCUCAGUAGAAGCUUGUUCUCUUGGCAGCUAAAUUCCUGGCUGUGACAUCUGCAAUGUCAGCCCUCCAGCUUCUCUCUGCAAGCUCAUCUGCUUCUGUGCAGCUCCAUGCUGAAGCCCAGGGCUGGCACCUUCUCCUCUGGAGCAUGGAGCACUACAGGGUGUGGAGUGGGGAGCAGGGCCAGCAGGAGUGAAAGCUGGACGCUUGGACUUAAUAUUAUAGGGAGGAAGGAGCUGUGAGGAAGGUGUGUAAGCAGAGAGAAAGCAGAACCAGCAUCCAUACAGAUUUUUAUGUCUGUUCUUUCUCAUCCAACACUGAAACAAUCCAAGGCUUUCUGGAACCUCCAUGCUUAUUUGUUGGCAAGUGUCUGUAUUAUCUGGUGAUGAAGGAUGUACCCUACAUCCCUCAAAUUUGUUGAUUGAGUUUUUACCUCAUGCAACUGAUCCCUCUGGAUGAUAACAGACAUCUACUGCUACCAAUUACUUAUUAGCACAUGAGGUAGAGAUCUGUACUUCAGACCUAAUAGGUUUCAGUUCCAUUUGGAGGUCACUAGGGUUUCAUAUAAUAUAAUUUCAUUUCAAUUAUCAUGGGAAGUGACUUGGUAAUUCCAGUAAAUGACUAGGUACUUAAAGCAAACCUGUCUGGAAAUACAGAUUUCUGUCCAGCUGGAAGUUUUAACAAUUGACUUUUUACUUGAGACAAAACAGAAAAAAAGUUACUGCAUUUUCGUGAUAGAGUAUUAAAACAAAUGCCCUUCUAAGUUUUCUCAGUGAGUUAUGUCCUCAAAGGAUUAACAUGAAGAAAAUAGGGUGAUCAAAGAUUUUAUGGAAGGAUGACUUUGAUCUCAUAGAUGGUAUAAGGUAGGACUUAAUCCAAAAUUACCAUGCUGUGUGGAUUAAUUAAAGGAAACAAAUGUGAGAAAGCUUGUUCUACUCUUGAACAGCUCAUUUAGCUUGUCUUUAAUGCAAAUUGUCAAUGAUGUUCCUGUCAUGAAAAUAAAUCUCAUUAAAAAUACAUCACUCGUUCACACACAUAUAAACCAAGGAAAGAGUGUGCUCCUACCAGAUGAAAUUGAUGUUACUCAGCUGCAGAGUGAAGGUGAUGUGGGUUUCAAAAUGCAGACACUCUUGCUCUUGUCUGGGUUUACAUUUUCUGAAAGAUCUUUCUAUUUCCCUCAGUGGGCUAUUGGAGUCCUUAAUGAACAUGGAAGAAGAGCAAGAAGAGCCUGAAACCCUCAUUCCCUCUUUACUAGUGGACUCAUAUUGCCAAAGGUUAUAUGUCCUUAGGCUACAACUUCCCUGAGAUUUUCUAUAACUUUCCAUUGAAUGGAAGUUCAGAUAAAAUGAAACUGUGAAAGCAAAUACUAUUUGAAACUGUAUAAAAAUGUAAAAAGUUAUAUUUGGCUUAUAAAUCAUGACAUCAUAUUAUUAUUAUUCUCUUGGAGCAGUUUAUGGAGCAGUAAAGCUAGAAUGCUGUACAGAGAUGAAAGUCAAUAUCUAUCUCCAUCCCUACACCAACAUUAGUAGGAAAUAUUACUAGACAUUGCAAGCUAGGAAAGAAAUAAGAAGAAUAUUAACAAGAGCCUUUUUUCCAUAUUAUAGUUCCAUAUUAAAAACCAAGCACGUAUGUAGUCUUUCUUUGUAUACUUACAGAAUUUCUUCCCUACAGAGCAAUAAAGAGGCAGAGAUUCCCAAACGUUUGGUUGCAUGAGGCCUGACAAUUGAAACAUCAGGGAUACCUGGAGAGGCAGUGAUCUCCCCUCCACUGUAAGGUGAGAAUCUCUACAGCUACACAUUUCUAUGGGAAACAGACACAGAAAGAAUUCUAAUGUUUUCAUUGCGUAUUAAAACAUAUGUGUGAAGGUCACAGCAAAGCCUUUGUUUCAUAUUUAUGGUCCCAAAGGCUUUAUCCAUUCAUUCUGCAUAUGCUUUCCAGGCUGAGGUCACAGCUUGGUCACCUCAGCGAACCUCAGGUCAGGCCCCUGACCAGGAAGCGAGUAAGAUACGAACAAACAAGCAGGCUGUUUGGCACGUUAAAUUCUAGUCGGUGUCUGGUACGGCCAGGAGGUGGCAGGGCAAGUCUGAUUUACCACGUCUGAGUGUCAGACUCUGGGUAUUUUCCAAUCUUGACUCUGUGGAAACAUGGUGAGUUCCUGCAGUUCUCCCAUUUGCACCGUUUAGUGGCAACUGCCUGCAUACCACUCACAACAUUUGCAAGGCUAUAAAGAGGCUUCCAGCAAACUUCCAGAGCUCUCUAGGAAAUGAUGGCUGGUAUUGUUUUUCCUUUUUUUUCUUUUUUUUUUUUUCUUUCUUUCUCUUUUUUAAUUAUAAUUUUGCACUGCUGACUCAACUCUGCUGUUCACUGGCAGUAUGGCCAACACAUCCUUUCAGAGUCAAGAAUGAGUCUUCCUUGUGUGCACAUCCUUGCAAGCAAGUGACACUGACCUUGCCCACAACAGCACAGAGUGACAAAAGCACAUCAUUCAAGCAAUGACACAGAAAUGUGUAAUACAUAACUGUUAAUACAGCUGCCUCAUCUUUCUCUUCUUGUUACUCCUUCACAUAGUAAGUGACCCACGUGAUAACCAGAGAGAAACCAUUUGGGAUGGCAGAGCAGAUGAAGGGAGACAAAGCAAAUAGAGAGUGACAAACUGGCCAAUAUCAGCUGGGGUACUUUUUCUAUCCAUUUCACCUGCAGUCAGCUCUGGGUUGGGUCAGUAGAUGAUGGGGGUUACUGAAGGAAAGAAACCAGACAUUGCACCAAAGUGCUGCCAAUAAUUUGGUAAUCUAAACUGUAUCUGAUUGUAAAUUACUCUAUUUAAAAAGCAAUAGGCUUCAGCAAAACCUGUCUUUUUCUUAAGAGCUACUGGUGCUGGUUAGUAACAAACCCCCAAAGUUUAUUAACAGAAAGCAACCCCAAAAUCUCUCUGUGUUAGGUUUAAUGGGCUGCAGCAACCCCAGGAUAGAUACUGGUGCCUUCACAAAAGAAGGCAUUUACUGUCUUCUGCCUCUUGUGCAGAUUUUUUUGUAUGUCUGUGUCCCUGGAGCAGCUGUGAGAGAAGAGAUAGAUGGAAGGGCAAGAAGAGAAGGUAAUAAUAAUUUUCUUAGGUUUGAUCACUUCUGAGAAAACACAGGAUCACUUUUGGUCUUGCUGUUUUAAGGGACUCAAAAGCCUGAUGGGUAGCAAUGGAGAUAGAGAGAAGAAGCUCCUUUAGUUAGGACUGCAAGAGAAAUUGAUGAUGCAGAGGUUUUUGUGCACAGGGU